UACGGGGGGGGGCAAGCGUUGUUCGGAAUCACUGGGCGUAAAGGGCGUGUAGGCGGUUCGGUAAGUGGAAUGUGAAAUGCUCCGGCUCACCCGGAGUACUGCAUCCCAAACUGCCGAGCUUAGUAUGGGAGAGGAUGAGGGAAUUCCUGGUGUAGCGGUGAAAUGCGUAGAUAUCAGUGAAGAACCGGUGGCGAAGGCGGGCUACUCGUGACAUCGAUGUCGCUGAGGCUAGCGAGGAGCUAGGGGGAGCAAACGGG
rnacentral:rRNA from 1 species